rnacentral:rRNA from 1 species
UGGGGAAUAUUGCGCAAUGGCCGAAAGGCUGACGCAGCGACGCCGCGUGUGGGAUGACGCCCUUGGGGGUGUAAACCACUGUCGGGGGGGACGAAUGCUCGGCCUCGAAUAGGGGACCGAGAGUGACGGUACCUCCAAAGGAAGCACCGGCGAAAUCCGUGCCAGCCGCCGCGGUAAUACGGAGGGUGCGAGCGUUGUCCGGAAUCACUGGGCGUAAAGCGCGCGUAGGCGGCCGCGUAAGUCACUUGUGAAAUCCCGGGGCUCAACUCCGGGGCUGCAUGUGAUACUGCACGGCUGGAGCUCGGUAGAGGCGAGUGGAAUUCCCGGUGUAGCGGUGGAAUGCGUAGAUAUCGGGAAGAACACCAGUGGCGAAGGCGGCUCGCUGGGCCGGUGCUGACGCUGGGGCGCGAAAGCGUGGGGAGCAA